GGGGCUCCGGGGCGAGCCGAGGGCUCUAAGGUCCCGGAGCCCCGCCGAACGGAGCCGUGCUCGGGACAGGUCGCGCCCCUCCUCCCCCCUUCCGCAGGCCGCUGAACUCGCCGCGCCCGGUGGCCUGCGCCCUGGACUGUGCGUGCCGCGAAGCCAGCCUUUAAAGCACAGGUGCCCCCUGCACCGGGAAGGGCCAGCUAGGAUUCCAAGGCGACGGGGUCUCCCCUUCCAGGGACAGCAGGAGUUCCCAGGAAGUAAGACCUACCCAACAGCUGAUCUGAAAUCCAGGGAGUGGAACACAAA
rnacentral:lncRNA from 1 species